AGGGAAAACACAAUGACCGUUUGAGGGGACGGGUGAGUAACGCGUAGGGAACCUGGCCCUUACAGGGGGAUAACAGAUGGAAACAACUGCUAAUACCGCAUAAGCGCCCAGCCUCGCAUGAGGCAGAGUGAAAAACUAAGGUGGUAAGGGAUGGCCCUGCGUCCGAUUAGCUAGUUGGUAUGGUAACGGCAUACCAAGGCGACGAUCGGUAGCCGGCCUGAGAGGGUGGACGGCCACAUUGGGACUGAGACACGGCCCAAACUCCUACGGGAGGCAGCAGUGGGGGAUAUUGCACAAUGGGGGAAACCCUGAUGCAGCGACACCGCGUGGGUGAAGAAGCGCUUCGGCGUGUAAAGCCCUAUCAGUGGGGAAGAAAAAGGACGGUACCCAAAGAAGAAGCACCGGCUAAAUACGUGCCAGCAGCCGCGGUAAUACGUAUGGUGCAAGCGUUAUCCGGAAUGACUGGGUGUAAAGGGAGCGUAGACGGUUGUACAAGUCUGAUGUGAAAGCCCACGGCUCAACUGUGGGAGUGCAUUGGAAACUGUAGAACUAGAGUAUCGGAGAGGCAAGUGGAAUUCCUAGUGUAGCGGUGAAAUGCGUAGAUAUUAGGAGGAACACCAGUGGCGAAGGCGGCUUGCUGGACGAAAACUGACGUUGAGGCUCGAAAGCGUGGGGAGCAAACAGGAUUAGAUACCCUGGUAGUCCACGCUGUAAACGAUGAAUACUAGGUGUUGGGGCCCGAAGGGCGUCGGUGCCGUCGCAAACGCAGUAAGUAUUCCACCUGGGGAGUACGUUCGCAAGAAUGAAACUCAAAGG
rnacentral:rRNA from 1 species